rnacentral:rRNA from 1 species
UUUUGGACAAUGGGCGCAAGCCUGAUCCAGCCAUGCCGCGUGAGUGAAGAAGGCCUUCGGGUUGUAAAGCUCUUUCGGCAGGAACGAAAUGGUACGUGCUAAUACCACGGACUGAUGACGGUACCUGAAGAAGAAGCACCGGCUAACUACGUGCCAGCAGCCGCGGUAAUACGUAGGGUGCAGGCGUUAAUCGGAAUUACUGGGCGUAAAGCGUGCGCAGGCGGUUUCUUAAGUCAGAUGUGAAAGCCCCGGGCUUAACCUGGGAACUGCGUUUGAAACUGGGAGACUUGAGUGUGGCAGAGGGGGGUGGAAUUCCACGUGUAGCAGUGAAAUGCGUAGAUAUGUGGAGGAACACCGAUGGCGAAGGCAGCCCCCUGGGCAUGACACUGACGCUCAUGCACGAGG